rnacentral:lncRNA from 1 species
AAUACUAUGACUAUAUCAGUAGCUCAAUCAUAAUUCUCGCUGCAUAAUAGACAUCAUCUCAAAACAAAAAAUUAAUCCAAGAGGACCAACAAAUUUUUUAAACAGCCUUAAUAAUCACAAUGAAUCGAACAUCAAAUUGGCCCAUUUUCAUUGCAAUCUGGACAUCAUUGGAAGUCAUAUUCAUUUUUUAGAACAGUAGUUUUUGCUCAAAUGAAAGAGAUAUAGCUUUUUAGAACAACUCAUGAAAUUUGGGAAUAACAGUGAUAUACUGGAGGCCUUCAUGGUGACAACAUCUAUCCAUAUUAUUGAAACACACAUCAAAAAUACUUGAUGAUUAUAUGGAAAGUAGCAAAGACAGUGGCAUAAGUUCUUGAACAACACAUGAUUCUUUUUCUUCCUUUCUUUACUUUUACAUGUACCUAACAAUUUAAGAGAAUUGAAGAUCCUUCACGACUCAUUACAAGUUUAAACCAGCCGAAGGAAAGCAAAACAACAUACCAACAACCUCAUUUCUCGAAUCAUAAGGGACUACAAAACACUAUUUCAACCUUAAGGUCGAUUCACCAUCAAAUCCAAUUGGGAUAACGAGUUAAUAUAUAACCAGAACCACCUUUCAAUCCACAUAAAGCAAAAUCCUAGCAUUAAAGGUUGGGACAUGAAGAAAAAUCAAAUAACAGAACCUCGUUAAAGAAAAAAAAAUCUAUCACAAUGAACUUGAGUUAAUCUUUCAAAACUGUUAGUAUUUACCAUAUUUCAAAACUGGCAACUCAUUCAACGUUAUUCACCAAAGAAUACAGAAGGUCGGCAAAGCGAUACCAUGGAAUCAAACACAUUUCUAAUUCAUUCAAACUCUUAUGAAGAGACUCGCCAAAAGGAAACUCAUAGAGUAACAAUAACCAGCAGCCAAAAUCAGCAAGAAAAAUCAGUUAAAUCUGAAACUACUACUGAUUAGUCUAUCUUAAAUGGCUCCCUCUAUGGCUUUGAUUCAUAAUACACACAAGAGUAGGAGGAAGAAAUGAACCUGAAAGCGCUCUUAAUUAAUUCUGAUCGCAAUCAAAUACACUUAAAUAUGGCAGUGAAGAUCCACGACAAACAACAUCCAAGAAAGAGGAACUCGCGAUCUCGAACGGACCUCAACUGGCAAGCAAUCGACGACUCGAGCGACCUCGAUUCAAUACCAAAACUCAAAUUGAAACUCAAAAAUUGAAAAGCAGUAAAGGGAUGAAAACAUAUAUUUUGUGUUAGUUUUUUCGGAUCUUUCCGAAAAUAAAGGACUCAAAAUAAAAACCUAAAACCCUAGCUUUUUCUGUCAAGAAAUACCCCCUUUCAAUCUCUGUCCAGACCCAAAUAUAUAGCCCUCUCUCGAAGCUUCUCUCCUUCCUUUGCAAGAAAUAGCAAAAACCCUUCAAAAAUCCGAAAAUCCCACCAAAAUUCCGAAAAUUUCCUUCUUUUUGGUAAAAAUCUGGACAAAUGGAGGGGUAUGAUUAAUUUUCAUUAAUCAUAUCCUACCCUUCGUCCAUCAUCUAUCGUUGAAAGAGAUUCACGUAUGAGAGAGCAAAAUACAACGUAGAUUCGAACCAAAAUCGGUUAUUUGUCAGGCCACGUGGAAGAAAGAGAGAAGGGAAAGGGGGACCAUGAGUUAACUCGCCGGGUUGGCAAGUUUUUCCGGUGAGUUUGGGGUAAAGGAUGCGGGCAGAGACGGGGAAGGGGGGCGCCGAUUUGGGUAGU